rnacentral:rRNA from 1 species
CCUACGGGGGGCUGCAGUGGGGAAUCUUGCGCAAUGGGCGAAAGCCUGACGCAGCGAUGCCGCGUGCGGGAUGAAGGCCUUCGGGUUGUAAACCGCUUUCAGCAGGGACGAAAUUGACGGUACCUGCAGAAGAAGCCCCGGCCAACUACGUGCCAGCAGCCGCGGUAAUACGUAGGGGGCGAGCGUUUUCCGGAUUUAUUGGGCGUAAAGAGCUCGUAGGCGGUUCGAUAAGUCGGAUGUGAAAUCUCCACGCGCAACGUGGGGAGGCCAUUCGAUACUGUCGUGACUCGAGUCCGGUAGGGGAGUGUGGAAUUCCCGGUGUAGCGGUGAAAUGCGCAGAGAUCGGGAGGAACACCCGUAGCGAAGGCGGCACUCUGGGCCGGUACUGACGCUGAGGAGCGAAAGCGUGGGGAGCAAACAGGAUUAGAUACCCCAGUAGUC